UAGAGAUUACAAGUCCAUAUCGUUUACGUUUCCAUAUGAACUUUGACAAAGAUUGUUAUCGUAUAGUGUUAUUUAUACUAAUAAAGUUAAUUAUUUUCUUAUCAGUGUUGUUUAUUUUUCCUGUGCGUAUGGACUAUACAUCCAUUGAUUUAAAAAAAAAUUAAAUUAUUUAAUCUUUCUAAUCGUCAGAAUUUAUUUAAAAUUGGCAUAGUUAUCUAACAGCGAAUUAUUGAGUCUUUAUAAGGCUAUUAAAAUAAAAAGAAAAAAAGUAAAGGAGACAAGUGAAUUUUAUAAUUACCAUUGCCUUAAUAAUAACGUCAAAAUGAUGAUGGAUUAUUUUGUAACAAAUAAUUCUUUAGCACCUGCACCUAUGGGAAUACAAAGUACAGCAGGUGCAGUGCCAGUAAAAAAUGAUAAAGGAGAACUAUCUAUGAAGAAAGUGAAAGUACAUCGUUAUGUUUCUGGUAAACGUCCUGAUUAUGCCCCCGUGGCUAGUUCAGAAGAAGAAUCAGAAGAUGAAGAUUUUUUAGAAAAACGUGUUCAUAAAAGUUAUGAUGACAAUGAAACUAUUACCGAUGUCCCACACACAGCUCAAGUUGUGAAAAUAAGAGAUGAAGAUGAUCCACGCUUAAGAAGAUUAACACGAUUAGAGAGACAACGAGAUUCAGCCACAGAAUCUCAUGUUGAAAGGCAAAGACAUAUUCAUGAGCCUGAAUUAAUUGAGAUAGAACCAGAAAGAUCACAUGAAAGGAUUAAGUUGGAAAGUUCAGAUUCAUCCGAAGAUGAAGAAUUAUCAGAUUCAGAAAUAGAGCGAAGACGUGAAGCUUUGAAACAACGAGUAUUAUCAAAAAAAGAGACAGAAGAAGAAUUAUUACAUGGAGAAGAAGACGAAAGAUCUGGUGAAAGCACGGAAGAAAGUUCAGAAUAUGAGGAGUACACGGAUUCUGAAGAAGAAACAGGCCCAAGACUUAAACCAGUUUUUGUUAGAAAAAAGGACAGAAUUACAGUUAUGGAGAAAGAAAAGGAGGCAAUGAAACAAAAACAAGUAGAAAUAGAAGCUAAAAAACUAGCAGAAGAACGGAAAAGGCAAACUUUUCGUAUGGUGGAGGAAGCAAUUCGUAAAGAAACACAAGUUAACAAAACUAAUAAUGAACAAGAAGGUAAGCUUGAAGAUGUUUGUACAGAUGAUGAAAAUGAUGAAGUUGAAUAUGAAGCUUGGAAAUUAAGAGAAUUAAAGAGAAUUAAACGAGAUCGGGAAGAAAGGGAACAAAUUGAAAAGGAGAGAUUAGAAAUUGAACGAAUACGUAAUAUGACUGAAGAAGAGCGUAGACAAGAAGCUCGAUUAAAUCCAAAGGUUAUAACUAAUAAAGCAGCAAAGGGAAAAUAUAAAUUUUUACAAAAAUAUUAUCAUCGUGGUGCCUUCUAUUUGGACAAAGAUGAUAACAUAUUUAAGAGAGACUUCUCUGGUGCUACUUUGGAAGAUCACUUUGAUAAAACAAUAUUACCAAAAGUUAUGCAAGUUAAGAACUUUGGUCGUAGUGGUAGAACUAAAUAUACUCAUUUAGUUGACCAAGAUACUACUCAAUUUGACUCUCCUUGGAUAUCGGAGACCGCUCAAAAUCUUAAAUUUCAUAAUAAUCAAGCUGCUGGAAUGAAACAAGUUUUUGAACGGCCAUCUUUGAAAAAAAGAAAAAAUGAAAAUUAAAUUUAAUACACGUAUCUAAGCAUUUAUAAAGUCUUACUCUGCAGAAGUAUAUGCACUAAAAUUUGUUAAUAAUAAGGUUUGGAUUAUCAAGAAAGUUCGUAUCAAUAAAGAUAAAUAAUAUUCAACCAUAUUUGACAAGCUGUUAGAACUUUCGAAACUAUUUAGCUGCUUGGGAAAUAUUUUUAAAUAGAUGUAUUUUUAAAAAGUUGUAUGGCGGAGGUUUUCCACCAUAUAAAGUGUCUGACAAUGGAUAACAAUUUCUAAUAGUAAAAAAUAUCAAGAAGUCACACUUUAUACUAUGAUAUUUUUGGGCAACAAUUUUAUAUACCUUUGCUACAUGUUACCUAUCAAAGCCACUGCGACUCAAGAUUCUCAUCUGUUGUAAUGUAUUUGCGCAGAAAAAUUUUCAGCCUGUACACUAAUAUAACGUAUGUCUGGUAUUCACGGACUCGCGUUAUAAACUGCGCGAACUUUCCUAUUAACCUAAUAUUAUAAAAUAUAAUAAUUUAUA